AAUGAACGUUGGCGGCGUGGAUUAGGCAUGCAAGUCGUACGGGCCGCAAGGCCAGUGGCGCAAGGGUGAGUAAUGCGACGGUAACCAACCCCACGGCUGGGUAUAGCCACGGGAAACUGUGGGUAAUCCCCAGCGAUGUCACGAGAGGGCAUCUUCUUGUGACCAAAGCUUCGGCGCCGUGGGACGGGCCGUUGUGGUAUUAGGUUGUUGGCGGGGUAACGGCCCACCAAGCCUACGAUGCCUACCGGGUGUGCGAGCAUGACCCGGCACACUGGGACUGAGACACUGCCCAGACUCCUACGGGAGGCUGCAGUCGAGAAUCUUCGGCAAUGGGCGCAAGCCUGACCGAGCGACGCCGCGUGGAGGACGAAGGCCUUCGGGUUGUAAACUCCUGUCGAGGGGGAAGAAGGGGUAAAACCUUGACUUAUCCCUGGAGGAAGCACGGGCUAAGUUCGUGCCAGCAGCAGCCGCGGUAA
rnacentral:rRNA from 1 species